rnacentral:lncRNA from 1 species
CUUCUCUCUCGUCCAUAAUUCUUUCCUUUUCUAUAAUCAAUUUUUUUUCCUCCUUACUUUUUCUCCUCUGUUCUCUUUCUCGCCGUAUCCUCUUCGUCAAGUUCAUGUGAAAUCAUGAAACUCAGAGGAUUAAAUCUUUAUUCAAUCAAUCAAUGAUUCCUAGAAGGUUAGUUCUCUCUUUUUUCAAAUAUGGAGAUCGAUCUAGGGAAAUCGAGAUUUUGUUAUGUGUUUUAAUUAUUUUUUUGGCAGAUCUGAAGAAUUCGUUAUUUGUAUUUUGGGUUUCAUUAGUAGAUCUGAAGAAUCAACGUUAACGAAAAUGGUGAAUCUAAAGAACUGGAGACGUCGGAGGUCGUGGUGGUAGCUUAGGACCACUGUUAAAGACGAUGACGUUCACCACCACCACCACAUCUGGAAGCCUCCGCCAAUUCACCCCCAACAUACGUGAACUCGAACCCUCCACCGUUGCAUCUCAGAUCCUCUGGCCGCCGCCAUGGUUUUGUUCUCCGACGCCUACGGUCGCUCCGUCCAUCGUCGAUGUCAAUUUUGUAUAAAUGUAUAGAUAUAUAUAUAUAUAUAUAUAUAUAUAUAUAUAUAUAUAUUGUAUUUGUCUGUUUGUAAUGAAUUUAAAAAUAAAUAAAAUUAUAUUUCUUUCAUUUU